rnacentral:rRNA from 1 species
CGGGUAGAGUAAUACGUAGGUAACCCACCUGUAAGACGAGGAUAGCAUUGGAAACGAUGGAUAAUACUGGAUAAGACAUGGCAAUAAGCAUUUAUAGAUGUUUAAAGGGAGAAAUCCGCUUACAGAAGGGCCUGCGGUGCAUUAGCUAGUUGGUAGGGUAAGGGCCUACCAAGGCGAUGAUGCAUAGCCGGACUGAGAGGUUGAACGGCCACAAUGGGACUGAGAACGGCCCAUACUCCUACGGGAGGCAGCAG